GAUCAUGGCUCAGGACGAACGCUGGCGGCGCGCCUAACACAUGCAAGUCGAACGAGAGAAAGGAAGCUUGCUUCCUCAAUCGAGUGGCGAACGGGUGAGUAACGCGUGAGGAACCUGCCUCAAAGAGGGGACAACAGUUGGAAACGACUGCUAAUACCGCAUAAGCCCACGGGUCGGCAUCGACCAGAGGGAAAAGGAGCAAUCCGCUUUGAGAUGGCCUCGNGUCCGAUUAGCUGGUUGGUG
rnacentral:rRNA from 1 species